UACAGAGGGUGCAAGCGUUAAUCGGAAUUACUGGGCGUAAAGGGUGCGUAGGUGGACGCAUAAGUCGGAUGUGAAAUCCCUGGGCUUAACCUAGGAACUGCAUUCGAAACUGUGAGUCUAGAGUAUGGUAGAGGUAAGUGGAAUUUCCGGUGUAGCGGUGAAAUGCGUAGAUAUCGGAAGGAACAUCAGUGGCGAAGGCGACUUACUGGACUGAUACUGACACUGAGGCACGAAAGCGUGGGGAGCAAACAGGAUUAGAUACCCAGUAGUCC
rnacentral:rRNA from 1 species